rnacentral:rRNA from 1 species
CCAAGGAGUCUAACAUGUAUGCGAGUCAAUGGGACUCGAAUAAGCCCAAAGGCGCAGUGAAAGUGAUUUCAUAAUCGAGAUCCAUGUGUUUUCAUACACGUGGCGCAUCGAUGACCCGUUCAAAUUUUCCUUYGAUAGAAGAACGGAGUUUGAGCAUACACGUUGGGACCCGAAAGAUGGUGAGCUAUGCUUGGACAGGACGAAGCCAGAGGAAACUCUGGUGGAGGUCCGUAGCGGUUCUGACGUGCAAAUCGAUCGUCAGAUCCGAGUAUAGGGGCGAAAGACUAAUCGAACCAUCUA